rnacentral:rRNA from 1 species
CCAAUAGCGUAUAUUAAAGUUGUUGCAGUUAAAAAGCUCGUAGUUGAAUUUCGGGACUAAUAUGUCGGUCGUGCCUCGGUACGAACUGGUUUAUUGGUCUCUCCUUUCUGAAGAACCAUGAUGUCAUUUAUUUGGUGUCGUGGGGAAUCAGGACUGUUACUUUGAAAAAAUUAGAGUGUUUAAAGCAGGCUCACGCUUGAAUACAUUAGCAUGGAAUAAUGAAAUAGGACGUUUGAUUCUAUUUUGUUGGUUUCUAGGAUCGACGUAAUGAUUAAUAGGGAUAGUUGGGGGCAUUAGUAUUCAAUUGUCAGAGGUGAAAUUCUUGGAUUUAUUGAAGACUAACUACUGCGAAAGCAUUUGCCAAGGAUGUUUUCAUUAAUCAAGAACGAAAGUUAGGGGAUCGAAGACGAUCAGAUACCGUCGUAGUCUUAACCAUAAACUAUGCCGACUAGGGAUCGGAUGAUGUUAAUUUUUUUAAUGACUCAUUCGGCGCCUUACG